rnacentral:rRNA from 1 species
GACGAACGCUGGCGGCGUGCCUAAUACAUGCAAGUCGAACGCAGUGGGGACGGGUGAGUAACACGUGGGUAACCUCCCAUCAGAGGGGAUAACACUUGGAAACAGGUGCUAAACCGAUACUGAUGGAUGGAGCCGCGGUGCUUUAGCUAGUUGGUGAGGUAACAGCUCACCAAGUCCACGAUGCAUAGCAGACCGGGAAGGAUGAUCGGCCAGCCUCGAAAGGAGUCACGGCCCCGACUCCUACGGGAGGCAGCAGUGGGGAAUCUUCGGCAAUGGUCGGAAUGCUAUGCGGACAACGCCGCGUGCGUGAAUGAGGUUUUCGGCUCGUAAAACACUGUUGUGAGGGAAUCGGUAUCUGAACAGGAAGCCACGGCUAACUUCGUGCCAGCAGCCGCUGUAAUUC